AUGUUAGAGACGCAGUCGCAGUCUGUUGAUGGCACUGAACCUGUCACGCAACCCGAGGAUGUGCCUCUUCAGCUUCUCCUGGAGGACCAACGUAAGAGGAUGAAGGAAGAAGAAUUUGACAAGAAGAGGGCGGGCCGCCUUGAGAAAGGUUCUGAUCUUCCUGGAUCUGUUCAUGUGGCUGAGCUCACUGUUGAUAUCAACUUGUGGAGCGGCCUGAGAGGAGGAGAGGAGGCAAAGCGCCCGAAGAAGGUGGCCAAGGAGGAGGUUGAUUCCAACAUUUCUCGUCCUUUGAUGGGCAACAUCUACACGAUGAUUGACCCUUCAACCAUGAUUUUGGACAUGGGUGAGGCGAGCAAGGUUAUAUGUAUUACAAGUGAUGCUAUUCACCAUCUCUUUGGGUUCCCUCAAGGUAAUCGUACCCCCCCCCCUAGGCCCUCGAAUGAUGGUUUCGAUGAUGCUGUUAUGAGGUUGAAGGGCAAGCUUGGGUAUGCUAGGAGUGACGACAUCAAGACAAAGGAUUUGCGGAAUAUCCUCACUGAACUUGUGAAGGAUGAGACGAAGGAUUAUCUUGCUCUGCAGGUGUUUUACCUUAUUGUUUUCAUGAAGGUGGUUAUCCCUGGAACGUCUACACGAGUGUCCAGGGAGGCAGCAAUGGCCGAGAACCUUGUGUCUGAGGAUAUGGCAGACAUGGACUACUGCCAGUUGGUUGUUGACGAUAUUCAGAGUGCUGUUGUUAGGUAUCAGCAAGGUACUAGCAGAGGAAAAGCUGUCACAGGCUGUGCCAUCGUGCCGCUUCUUAUGUAUCUGGACUGCCUUAUCAUUGGCAAGACGCCUAAUAUUGACUUGAGGACCCCUCGCAUCAAUUUCAUGGAUCAGGCCAAGCUUCUUGAGCUUGCUGCGGCUGACUUGGUCACGAAGGGUGAUGAUGACCCAGCCAACUGGGUGUUUGGGAGACUGCCUUGGAAGACACAAGCUGAGGUUGUGUUCUUUAGGGUUAUUGAACGUCCUGUUCUAACUAUGCCUCGUUCUGCCGGCCUAGGGAGUGGAACUUCCCCAAGAUUUGAAUUCUCCCGGGAUGUUCAUACCGGUGCCCCCCUGAUUGACAGUCUUCUUGAAACUGUUUGUGUGGAGUUGGCUCGUGUUCCUUCAACUGCUGAGCGUCUUAGUUGCGUUGAUGGGAUUCUUCCUCCCGAACACGGAUUUGAUGCUGAGUCUUCGAAGGAGGUCUUAUCUAUUGAAGCUAGAUUUCUUGAAGAGCUUCGUCAGAGCACUUCCCACCUCCGGACUGGCGUUGGGAUGUUCAAGGAAAUGCAGGAUGCUCGUUGCAAGCCUUUUGAAGAUGAGGCAAGUGUCGUUGUGAGACAGAUUCAGAGGCAGGAUUCUGUUCGUUCGGGUCUAGAAGGAGGCCACGUGGAGCAUACCAAAGAGGUAUUUGUUUUCUACAUGAUUUUUUUGUAUGCUAUUGAUGAUGAUGCUAGGGUUGAGGAGGAUGUUUUACCUCCGCAAGAAGCUGCUCCUGUGCAUGAGGCUGCCCCUGUGCAUGAACCUGCUCCCGCUAGUGGCGUAAUAGUUGAUGAGGUUCAUGGCAGUGAAAAUAAGCAGCAGAAUGAUGAUGUUAGUGUUCCUCCAGAGAAGGUUGCAGACAAGUCUGUCUCAGGCACCGGCUGCUCCUACGGGGUGGACCUGACUGAACCUCAGUCAUCCAUUGGCGCUGAGGUUUCUGAUGCUCAGCAGGGCAAGACAACUGGAGACAUCAUUUUGGAGAAAGAUCAUGUUGAGUCUGCUGUUGAAACUGGUGGUAGUGCUGCUGCAAGCCCGGAGAAGUCUCCUGCAGCAGAGCCAUCAGUUGAUGUUGAUGUUGUACAGGCACAACCAAAAGUUUUUCUUGUUUCGGAUUCUCCAGUUGCUCCAGCUGCUGCUGGUGUCCUUCCCGACGACGCUGCAACGUCUACUGGAGACGACGAUGAAGAGACCGAAAGCGAUAGCUAUGGAGAGGAGGUUGAUCAUUCCAAUAGCGACCUUGCUGUCGUCCGAAAGAAGGUUGAUGACUUUUAUUACAGUGUAACUAGGCUUAAGAAUAAUCGUUCCAAGAGAUCAACGAUUAUGUUCCAAAACAAGGAGUGUGAAGCUUCUGUUGAAGAUGUUGCAAUAUCUUUUGGUCCUCGUGGAAUGCUUCAAUCUAAUGUGGCUGAGUGCGCACUCUACUGUCUACGUGCGAAGUACCAGGGAUCAGAUAAACUCAUCCUGCCGUAUUGGGUUUGUGACAAGAUUUUCAGAGGUCAAUUUGAUUCCCGUGUGAGGAAGUACUUCAUGGCGAGUGGUCCAGAUAGCAUGGAUGCACAUGAUUCGGUUGUUUUCCCCACUUUUGACCCGCCUGAGAUUCCUGCUUCCAUGGGUGGUGUUGGUCAUUGGGUUUCAAUAUUUCUUGACAUGAAGAAUUCAAGGUUCCAGCUUCUCGACUCCUAUUAUGGACCAGAAGAUGAAUGUGCGGUAUGCCUGUUUCGGCGGAUGACCGACAACAUCAAGAAGCUUUGGAAGGAUGCCAGCAACGACACGGAGACACCCUUCAGUCCUCUUACCAUCGAACAUUUCGCUUUGGAUUGGAUUGAUGUGCCCCAGCAGCAAAACAAUAUCGACUGCGGAUUCUUCAUGCUUACGAAUGUUAAUUCGUAUCAUGACGGGGUUCUUGCAAAUUAUUCCCAUGAGAAUAUCGCGGAUAUCCGGAAGACGUGGCUGUACUCAAUCGCUUCUUCUAACAUCUUUGAGACAGACUUCCAAGCUCUGUUUGGCUACUACACAUAGAUGAUGCCUUUCUAUGGUUUUGAAUACCAGCCUAGGGAGGAAUCGAUGAGUACAGCUCCGAUAGAAGAUGAUAGACCUCGGACCCUUAUUCCUUCCAAGUUGGGGAAGCAGGCUGGUGGUAUUCGUGGUACUCCAAAAACCCCUUGCUCCAGGAAGGCUGAUGCAGUCGAAGCAGCCGAAGCAGAAGUGAUUUCGUCCGAUGCUGAUUUUGAGAAGAUUGCUUACCCGAAGAAUGUUAAAUGUGCUGCUGGUACUGUUGCUGGUAGAGGUGGGAAGAAUGCUGUCAUCACCAGGAGGAAACCGGAAGUUGAGUCUGGCAACAUAACUUCCUCCAAGAGAGCAUCAAGAUUGCCUUUGAAGUGGCGUUCUCAUGUCGCUCCCCUGAAAAAAUAUAGUUACCCUCAUCUAUCCGAGGCCCAGAAGUUGAAACAGUAUGUGCUGAGUAAAGACGGUCUGGAGAAGUAUUCUGAGACAAGCUACUGCAUGUUUACCAUCCCUGCGAAUGUGAUUGACCUCACAGGACAUGUCCUUUAUAUGCUUUUCGGUGAAGGGCAGCAGAUGGAAGGAGACAUAAUGGAUUAUCUCAUAAAUUUGUGGAAGGAUAAGCCGGAGACCUCUGAGAUAUUCACUAGUGCUGAAAGGUACUGCCUGGAGUAUGAUUUCUACGUUGCAACAGUUCCAAAGUUUGAUGCAAAAAAUCUGCUGGUCUCCUCCCAAUGUUUGUUCGCAAGGAAGAAGACCUUCUUAACGCAAAGCUGUUUGUGUUCACCGGUCCUUUCAUUCUUGGCAGGUUUUCUUGAUUCUAUUCAAGACAAUUGGCAGAAUGGCGCACUACAGUGUAUCAAGAUAUUUGUUAGGUUGCUCGAGGAGGUGUACGGCAAGGCUGUGUAUAAAGCGAGCAAGCAGCCUAACUGGGUGACUAUUGCAAAGAGGCUGACCUUUAUCGAUGUUCCAAAGCAGAAGAAUAAUGAUUGUGGUUUCUUUGCCGUGAAGUUCUGCUGUUCAUAUGAUGGCGAUGAGAUUGUUGAAGAUUUUGGUGAUGUGGAAGCUGCUGCAGAUGACUGGAAGGCUGAGUUCAUGCACACUCUGAUUUUUAGCGAGAAGAAUGAAGUCAUGCGUUCAGAGCUCCCUAAAGAGAUCCAGUCCUUUGGCCCGUGA
rnacentral:rRNA from 1 species